AGCAGCCGCGGUAAUUCCAGCUCCAAUAGCGUAUAUUAAAGUUGUUGCAGUUAAAAAGCUCGUAGUUGAAUUUCGGGGUUAGUAGGUUGGUCGUGCCACUGGUACGUACUGGUCUCACUGAUUCCUCCUUCCUGAUGAACUGUAAUGCCAUUAAUUUGGUGUUGCAGGGAAACUGGACUGUUACUUUGAAAAAAUUAGAGUGUUUAAAGCAAGCUAACGCUUGAAUACAUUAGCAUGGAAUAAUGAAAUAGGACGUUCGAUCCUAUUUUGUUGGUUUCUAGGAUUGACGUAAUGAUUAAUAGGGAUAGUUGGGGGCAUUAGUAUUCAAUUGUCAGAGGUGAAAUUCUUGGAUUUAUUGAAGACUAACUACUGCGAAAGCAUUUGCCAAGGAUGUUUUCAUUAAUCAAGAACGAAAGUUAGGGGAUCGAAGACGAUCAGAUACCGUCGUAGUCUUAACCAUAAACUAUGCCGACUAGGGAUCGGAUGAUGUUAAAUUUUUUUAAAUGACUCGUUCGGCGCC
rnacentral:rRNA from 1 species